AGACACAGACAUACACGCCCUCACUGAGACUGCGCAGGCGUGGCUUCCGCUCUGCCCUCUGGGAAAGAGAGUCUUCCGGCUCCUCUCUCGCGAAGGAAUGUUAGGCGCUUCCGUCCAGAAAGAACUUCAAAUACCGUGAUGCAACGCGACUCGACGCACGCGGGGAGGAGGAAGAGGAAGGCGCUCGGAAGAGGAUAAGCGGUGGCUCCAGAAUGUCUGAAGACAGGAGUCUGUCAAGUGUCUGCUUUAAGAAACCAGAUCAGGAAGAAAGCUCUUUCCAGUUCCUGCACUGCCGCUGCUUUGAUCAUGCUACCAAAGUACCAUGCUAGUCAU